UUGGUAGAAUUCAGCUGUGAAUCCAUCCAGUCCUGGACUUUUCUUUCUGGGAGACUUUUUAUUAUCACUUCAAACUUGCUACUAGUUAUUGUUUUGUUCCAGUUUUCUAUUCCUUCCUGACUCAAUCUUGCAGAGUUGGCUGAGAAGGAGGGUGCCGAAGAAGGGGUUGAAGAAGGUGCUGAAGAAGGAGAGUGAGCAGCCAACCAUGUGGAUUUGAUGGAUGUCUCCCAGAUAUGUUCUUAUUUGCCAGCCAAAGACGGAGGAGAGGCCUGUCUACUUUAUUCAAGCAAACUUAAACAACCUGCAUGUUGUCAUGAGCUGGAUACCCACACUGCAUUCCUUAGUAGGCUCCCGACGAAUACCAAUUUUCUAGCUAACUGCUUUCCUUGCCUUCCCAUCCUAAGCCCAAACAUCACUUGCUAGAUUUCAGUGAGAUAGAGCAUCUCCGUAAGGAAACUUAGAUAAGCCACGUCUGACAAAAUCCUUAAGGAUUUCCCUUAUUCCUUAUGGAUUAAGAAAUCCUUAACCCAUAAGGAAUAAGGGAACUCCACAAGGAAACUUUUGUAAGAGAUUUCAUGAGAAAUGCCAGGCCUGCCUUUGGGUCAAUGCACACUCACUCCCAUCUCCUACAACCUGUGGCUGCAGUACUCACUACCGGCCAGUUGCAAUCCAAGAUCGGAAUGUUGAGUCUGACAUGCUGCGACGUUUAUAACCAUCCAAGAAGAAAAAUAAAAUAAACCAAAAAACAGCUUUGUGGCC